UUCUUUGUGUCAUGACUCGAAUCUUUAGUAUUAUCUUAUUUAUUACUUGUGUCUACUAUUUAGGCAGAAUACCAUCCUGGUGAAGUGGUGAUGCAGGCAGGUCCUAAAGAUUCUAUUGAAUCUAUAUAUAGUUGCGCUGAAUCUAUGCUCCUAGGCUGCGCCAGCUGAGAAUGAACUUAUACAUGGGGCACAAUAUACAACAUGCUCUACAUGUUUACCUUACCACAAGAGAUCCGAUUCGAAGCAUUGGAUUUCUAUAAGAAGAAACACCCAGAAGCGGCAUGGGACAUCCUAAAAUACGGUCUAUGCGGUGAGAUGGACAAAACUUCAUAUUUAUGACGAUAUAAGUAACAACUGGUAGCGAGCUAACACGACCAUAACCACGACUAGGAAGUUUGUUAGCAACUUAGCAUCAGACACACUAAAAAGGCGGUUCUUGGUCGGAUCGACCGGUAUUAUGGUUCAAUUUUAGAAAAAAAUUGAUUUUAUGAACUGAAAACCGGUUUAGGAGUACAAAGAAAGAGCGGGUGGAAAUUUCAAACUAAAAACAAAAAAGUUAUAACCACGGAGGAAGGAGAAGAACAAGAAAACAUAGGUACGUUCUUAUAAAGAUACGAUAAUUCACACCAAAAUCAAAUCAUUUCCAUUCAUAUAAUCUCUUUACAAAUCACAUGAAUAUUCUUUUUAAAAAAUAUCCUUAUGUUUCUGUUUCUUCCCACACCUAUGAGAAGUUACUACAUAAAGAAAGGUUCCCCAAAAACCUUUAUGAAAGUCUUGGCUUAUCUUUUCUUCUUCUUCAUGUUUUCUAAUCACCACUAUAUAUAGGAAGGUGAGAUGCCUCUCCGAAGUUGUUUUAUCUUUUUACACUCUAAAACAAAAACUCUGCUUUUAUGCAAUAUUUAUAGAUUCUGUACAAGAGAAUCAACAACACAACAAAUCAAGAAUUCAUUUGAAAAGAAAAGACCCGGAUUAUGUAUCCGGGUUUGACCCUAAAAGAGAGGGAGGACAAACAAAAGAAUGUUUCUUACACACACACGUCAUGAAUUAAAAGAAAACACAUACUCUCUAACCCUUUUAUGAAACGGGUUAGAGAGUAUGAUGAAGAUGAUGAUGAAAAGAAACACUCCUGAGUAUCUGAGAGAGAAACUCAGGUCUAGACUUAGAAAUGUUACCUUUUAACAUUCUUGGAUUCUAGAUUAUCAACACUGAGGGGGGAAAUAAUGCAGAUCAUGGCACGCCCGCUUCACAAAAACUUUUCAGGCCGAUAUGGCUGCAAACCUAUGAAGAAAA